GGGGCUAUAAGCUCAGCUGGGAGAGCGCUUUACAUGGCAUGCAAGAGAGGUCAACGGUUCGAUCCCGCUUAGCUCCACCA
rnacentral:tRNA from 1 species